GUAGGGAAUAUUGGUCAAUGGGCGAGAGCCUGAACCAGCCAUGCCGCGUGCAGGAAGACGGCGUUCUGCGUUGUAAACUGCUUUUAUCUGGGAAGAAAAAGCCCUUGCGAGGGAAAUUGCCGGUACCAGAGGAAUAAGCACCGGCUAACUCCGUGCCAGCAGCCGCGGUAAUACGGAGGGUGCAAGCGUUGUCCGGAUUUAUUGGGUUUAAAGGGUGCGUAGGCGGCUGAUUAAGUCAGCGGUGAAAGUUUUCGGCUCAACCGAGAGACUGCCGUUGAUACUGGUUGGCUUGAGUUAUGGAGGGGUACAUGGAAUUUAUGGUGUAGCGGUGAAAUGCAUAGAUACCAUAAGGAACACCGAUAGCGAAGGCAUUGUACUGGCCAUAAACUGACGCUGAGGCACGAAAGCGUGGGUAGCGAACAGGAUUAGAUACCCUAGUAGUCC
rnacentral:rRNA from 1 species